rnacentral:rRNA from 1 species
UACGUAGGGUGCGAGCGUUGUCCGGAAUUAUUGGGCGUAAAGAGCUCGUAGGCGGUCUGUCGCGUCGAUCGUGAAAACUCGGGGCUUAACCCCGAGCCUGCUUCCGAUACGGGCAGACUAGAGGUAUGCAGGGGAGAACGGAAUUCCUGGUGUAGCGGUGAAAUGCGCAGAUAUCAGGAGGAACACCGGUGGCGAAGGCGGUUCUCUGGGCAUUACCUGACGCUGAGGAGCGAAAGUGUGGGGAGCGAACAGG